rnacentral:rRNA from 1 species
UACAGAGGUCCCGAGCGUUGUUCGGAUUCACUGGGCGUAAAGGGGGCGUAGGUGGCAUGGCAAGUUUGAUGUGAAAGCUCAGGGCUCAACCCUGAAAUGGCAUUGAAUACUGCUGUGCUGGAGGUUUGGAGGGGGGACUGGAAUUCUCGGUGUAGCAGUGAAAUGCGUAGAUAUCAGGAGGAACACCGGUGGCGAAGGCGGGUCUCUGGGCCGAUACUGACGCUGAGGAGCGAAAGCGUGGGUAGCAAACAGG